rnacentral:snRNA from 1 species
GUGCUCUCUUUGGCAGCACAUAUACUAAAAUUGGAACGAUACAGAGAUUAGCAUGGCCCCUGUGCAAGGAUGACAUGCAAAUCUGUGAAGCAUUCCAUAUUUAA